UACGAAGGGUGCAAGCGUUACUCGGAAUUACUGGGCGUAAAGCGUGCGUAGGUGGUUUGUUAAGUCUGAUGUGAAAGCCCUGGGCUCAACCUGGGAAUUGCAUUGGAUACUGGCAGGCUAGAGUGCGGUAGAGGAUGGCGGAAUUCCCGGUGUAGCAGUGAAAUGCGUAGAUAUCUGGAGGAACACCGGUGGCGAAGGCGGCAUCCUGGACCAUUACUGACGCUGAGGAGCGAAAGCCAGGGGAGCAAACGGG
rnacentral:rRNA from 1 species